AAAACUUCUAGUGAUAAGGAAAUGUGGAUGGAGAGGGUAAUUAUGAUAUAAAGGGAAUUUGUUUGGAAAGAGAAAGGAUCUUUACUAUAUCGAAAGAGGUUCGAGCUUAUAUUAAAUUAUUGUUUUGUCAACAAAAAAAAGCUUAUGUUAAAUUAUUAAGAUUUGUUUGUAAUGGUACGUUUUGUCCAAGGGCUAGUUGGGAAGAAGCGCCCUUGAAAAUUUACUAAAUAGCGGAACUACCCAUUCCCCCACCUAGUGUACAAUAUUUGGAAGAGAUUUUACAAUGGGA
rnacentral:lncRNA from 1 species